UACGUAGGGUGCAAGCGUUGUCCGGAAUUAUUGGGCGUAAAGAGCUCGUAGGUGGCCUGUCGCGUCGGCUGUGAAAACUCGGGGCUCAACUCCGAGCUUGCAGUCGAUACGGGCAGGCUAGAGUUCGGCAGGGGAGACUGGAAUUCCUGGUGUAGCGGUGGAAUGCGCAGAUAUCAGGAGGAACACCGAUGGCGAAGGCAGAUCUCUGGGCCGUAACUGACGCUGAGGAGCGAAAGCGUGGGGAGCGAACAGG
rnacentral:rRNA from 1 species